GCAUAUCAAUAAGCGGAGGAAAAGAAACUAACAAGGAUUCCCCUAGUAGCGGCGAGCGAAGCGGGAAGAGCUCAAAUUUAUAAUCUGGCACCUUCGGUGUCCGAGUUGUAAUCUCUAGAAAUGUUUUCCGCGUUGGACCGCACACAAGUCUGUUGGAAUACAGCGGCAUAGUGGUGAGACCCCCGUAUAUGGUGCGGACGCCCAGCGCUUUGUGAUACAUUUUCGAAGAGUCGAGUUGUUUGGGAAUGCAGCUCAAAUUGGGUGGUAAAUUCCAUCUAAAGCUAAAUAUUGGCGAGAGACCGAUAGCGAACAAGUACCGUGAGGGAAAGAUGAAAAGCACUUUGGAAAGAGAGUUAACAGUACGUGAAAUUGUUGGAAGGGAAACGCUUGAAGUCAGACUUGCUUGCCGAGCAAUCGGUUUGCAGGCCAGCAUCAGUUUUCCGGGAUGGAUAAUGGUAGAGAGAAGGUAGCAGUUUCGGCUGUGUUAUAGCUCUCUGCUGGAUACAUCUUGGGGGGACUGAGGAACGCAGUGUGCCUUUGGCGGGGGUUUCSACCUCUUCACACUUAAGGAUGCUGGUGGAAUGGGCUUUAAACGACCCCGUCUUGAAACACGGACC
rnacentral:rRNA from 1 species